CGUGAUUACUAUUCUCUUUUAAUAGAAGAAAGUAAUCAAAAAUGGUUAAAAUGGCUUCCUAUGCGAUUCCAAUCCUUUUCCUCAUUUUAUUUGCAUCUUAUAAUACUGCUAUUGCUCGAAAAACUCGGGUCCCCAAAACUAUUGCAGAUGAAAAUAAAGAGAACCCAAGGGUUAUUGGAGAAAGUAAAACUGGAGUGGGCGGUCAUGGUUCAACCGGUGGCGGACCAGGUGGACCACGUGGUCCCGCACCAGGUGGCCUUGGCAGCCAUGUGUGAUAUUUUGUCAUACAUAUAGAAAAUAAAUGCACGUGGUGUACAAGUUUCAAAUUA